GACGAACGCUGGCGGCGUGCUUAACACAUGCAAGUCGAGCGGUAAGGCCCCUUCGGGGGUACACGAGCGGCGAACGGGUGAGUAACACGUGAGCAAUCUGCCCUUCACACGGGGAUAACCCUCGGAAACGAGAGCUAAUACCCGAUACGACCACUUCAGGCAUCUGAUGGUGGUGGAAAGUUCCGGCGGUGAAGGAUGAGCUCGCGGCCUAUCAGCUUGUUGGUGGGGUAAUGGCCCACCAAGGCAACGACGGGUAGCCGGCCUGAGAGGGUGACCGGCCACACUGGGACUGAGACACGGCCCAGACUCCUACGGGAGGCAGCAGUGGGGAAUAUUGGACAAUGGGCGAAAGCCUGAUCCAGCAACGCCGCGUGAGGGAUGACGGCCUUCGGGUUGUAAACCUCUUUCAGCUACGACGAAGUUGUGUCCUUCUGGACACAGUGACGGUAGUAGCAGAAGAAGCACCGGCCAACUACGUGCCAGCAGCCGCCGUAAUAC
rnacentral:rRNA from 1 species